rnacentral:rRNA from 1 species
UACGUAGGGUGCGAGCGUUGUCCGGAAUUAUUGGGCGUCAAGAGCUCGUAGGCGGCCUGUCGCGUCGGAUGUGAAAGCCCGGGGCUUAACCCCGGGUCUGCAUUCGAUACGGGCAGGCUAGAGUUCGGUAGGGGAGAUCGGAAUUCCUGGUGUAGCGGUGAAAUGCGCAGAUAUCAGGAGUAACACCGGUGGCGAAGGCGGAUCUCUGGGCCGAUACUGACGCUGAGGAGCGAAAGCGUGGGGAGCGAACAGG